UGAAAGAAACAGCUACAUUGAAGCCAAAUGAAAAUUCCUGACAAGACUUUCUUCAGUAUUUGGAUGUUAUUUUCCACUCCAAAGCUCAGUGAAUUGAAGAGACAGACAUGCUGCAAUUGUCAUUUUAAUCAGCAAUAGUGGUGUAGAGCUGGUGGCAGUACAUAUUAGACUGAAAAUGAAUCCCACAGUAGAAAAAUGUCAAUGAGACAAGCUGAGGUCUACAGGACUGACUUUUAUUUAUCUGUAUUAUGAAUUUCACUUCAUCAUUUAGGUUCUACAAUUAAAUGAAGAAAGCAAGACUUCAGCUUAACUUGAGUUUAAUGAGAGGAAUAUCUUGUACUGAGGACAGCUGAUCCAAUAUUUUCCUAGGUAACUAUGCCAUCAAUGUUAAUGAUGUUAAUAAUAUUUUGGCAAAAAUUGCAGUAAAAAUUAGCCAAGAAAGAGGCACUGAUCUAUUAUAACUUUUAUUUUUACUGCCAGUUAGACUUCUAUCUCAGUAAGUGACCUGUGAAUCUGGCAUCUUAUUAUUGUUGAUAAGGCUAUUCAUCCUGCUUUAGUUGUUUUGACCCUUGAAAAGGGAACUCAUAUCCAAAAUGUUUAAUAUCUAUAUUAUUUAUCAACAAACAAUAGAGAUUUGUUGGUUGUCAGUCACUGAAUCACUCCCACAGAAUGAAGAGAACUCUUGGUACAGAGUCAGAAAUACUGUUGGCUCUUUAAUUCUCUACAGUUCCAGUUCUUUAAUUUGCAGUUUAUGAAAGGCAGAAUUUAGUAGGACAUUCUGAAAUAAAAUAUGCAAUUAAUUAUUAUACAAACUUCUUUAUAACUUUAUUAAUUUUGAAGAAAUUGUAGGAAGCACAAAAUAAUUCCGCUAGAAAUGAAGUAACUGAUACUUUACAUUUACUAUAGCUGUGAAGACUUAAAGGUAAAUGAGUAAUAACUUUUCACUCUCAACAAUAGCUUUACAGAUAAUGCUUGAGACAUGCAAAGGAUGAUUAACAGGCUGUGCAUUCCAAUCUAUUGGCAUCAUGCUACUAAUUCACUCCAAAAAAAGUUUGCCAUUCACUACCAACCAGGAAAGAAAUGGAAAGAAUUGGCAUUUUGCUCACAUUAUCUGCUUUCAUAACCAUUCAUUUUCAAGUGAAGGCCAAGAGCUUUUCUAAAAAUGUCUGCAAUGAGAACACAGGCGGUUGCUUAAACCAGUAACAUCGCUUUCACAUGGCUGAAGUCUGAUGGAAUGGAUACAGACUUGUCUCUUCUUCAGAUGGUCAGGAGAAGGCACUAACCAUUCCCAGUCAGAAUGCUCAGAAGGACAAAGAGAGAGCUGUGAGCUCUGCACAAUGUGCUCCUUGUACAGCAGAGACAGAUUCCUUCAAAGUCAGUUAAAUUGCUAGCAACAUCUAACACAGGAAAAGGAAAAGAAGAAAAAG